rnacentral:lncRNA from 1 species
UCAAAGUCUCCUCAAUUGGCUUUAAAGAAGGAGAGUCGCAUAUCCGCUGUUGAUCUAAUCUAUAUCUAAUUCGCAGAUCAGUUGUUAAAAGUCUUCUAUUCAAGUAAAGAUUCAAUUAGAUUGAAAUAUAGAUAGAGAUCGCAUAUCUGUUUUGACUAACUCUCUUCUAUGGGAUGUCGCAUAUCGACUGUAUGCUUUCCUCAUUACCAGCAUGCCGGUCCCCUCUUUCAGUUAAGUUUUUCUUUAAAAACGAGCUCCCUUCUUUAACAGCUUUUUCUACCCGAUUUCAGAAGCUUCUAUAUCCACUAAGAACGAAAUCACUUGGAGUAAGAGAAGAGGGGGCACAGCAAGGCAGAGGAUAGAGAAGUAGGGGGAAGGAAGACAGAGCGGUAGAGGAGCGGAAACCUCUUAGGCGAAGAUCAAUUCCUA